CCUACGGGGGGCAGCAGUGGGGAAUAUUGCACAAUGGGGGAAACCCUGAUCCAGCGACGCCGCGUGGGUGAAGAAGUAUUUCGGUAUGUAAAGCCCUAUCAGCAGGGAAGAAAAUGACGGUACCUGACCAAGAAGCCCCGGCUAACUACGUGCCAGCAGCCGCGGUAAUACGUAGGGGGCAAGCGUUAUCCGGAUUUACUGGGUGUAAAGGGAGCGUAGACGGCAUUGCAAGUCUGAUGUGAAAGAUUGGGGCUCAACCCCAGGCCUGCAGUGGAAACUGUGAGGCUGGAGUACAGGAGGGGUAAGCGGAAUUCCUAGUGUAGCGGUGAAAUGCGUAGAUAUUAGGAGGAACACCAGUGGCGAAGGCGGCUUACUGGACUGUAACUGACGUUGAGGCUCGAAGGCGUGGGGAGCAAACAGGAUUAGAUACCCGAGUAGUC
rnacentral:rRNA from 1 species